AGAGUUUGAUCAUGGCUCAGAUUGAACGCUGGCGGCAGGCUUAACACAUGCAAGUCGAGCGGAGAUGAGGUGCUUGCACCUUAUCUUAGCGGCGGACGGGUGAGUAAUGCUUAGGAAUCUGCCUAUAAGUGGGGGACAACAUUCCGAAAGGAAUGCUAAUACCGCAUACGUCCUACGGGAGAAAGCAGGGGAUCUUCGGACCUUGCGCUAAUAGAUGAGCCUAAGUCGGAUUAGCUAGUUGGUGGGGUAAAGGCCUACCAAGGCGACGAUCUGUAGCGGGUCUGAGAGGAUGAUCCGCCACACUGGGACUGAGACACGGCCCAGACUCCUACGGGAGGCAGCAGUGGGGAAUAUUGGACAAUGGGGGGAACCCUGAUCCAGCCAUGCCGCGUGUGUGAAGAAGGCCUUAUGGUUGUAAAGCACUUUAAGCGAGGAGGAGGCUACUGAGACUGAUACUCUUGGAUAGUGGACGUUACUCGCAGAAUAAGCACCGGCUAACUCUGUGCCAGCAGCCGCGGUAAUACAGAGGGUGCGAGCGUUAAUCGGAUUUACUGGGCGUAAAGCGUGCGUAGGCGGCUUUUUAAGUCGGAUGUGAAAUCCCCGAGCUUAACUUGGGAAUUGCAUUCGAUACUGGGAAGCUAGAGUAUGGGAGAGGAUGGUAGAAUUCCAGGUGUAGCGGUGAAAUGCGUAGAGAUCUGGAGGAAUACCGAUGGCGAAGGCAGCCAUCUGGCCUAAUACUGACGCUGAGGUACGAAAGCAUGGGGAGCAAACAGGAUUAGAUACCCUGGUAGUCCAUGCCGUAAACGAUGUCUACUAGCCGUUGGGGCCUUUGAGGCUUUAGUGGCGCAGCUAACGCGAUAAGUAGACCGCCU
rnacentral:rRNA from 1 species